rnacentral:rRNA from 1 species
CCUACGGGAGGCUGCAGUGGGGAAUCUUGGACAAUGGGCGCAAGCCUGAUCCAGCUAUUCCGCGUGUGGGAUGACGGCCCUCGGGUUGUAAACCACUUUUGCCGGGGAGCAACGGGGUCCUUGCGAGGGCCCGAUGAGAGUACCCGGAGAAAAAGCAUCGGCUAACUCCGUGCCAGCAGCCGCGGUAAUACGGAGGAUGCGAGUGUUAUCCGGAUUUAUUGGGUUUAAAGGGUGCGUAGGCGGGCUGUUAAGUCAGCGGUCAAAUGUCGGGGCUCAACCCCGGCCUGCCGUUGAAACUGGCGGCCUCGAGUGGGCGAGAAGUAUGCGGAAUGCGUGGUGUAGCGGUGAAAUGCAUAGAUAUCACGCAGAACUCCGAUUGCGAAGGCAGCAUACCGGCGCCCGACUGACGCUGAGGCACGAAAGCGUGGGUAUCGAACAGGAUUAGAUACCCGGGUAGUC